CGGGGUGUGGUGUAAUGGCAGCACGCGUGCUUUGGGAGCACGUAGUUUGGGUUCAAAUCCCAACACCCCGA
rnacentral:tRNA from 1 species